UGUGACCAAAUAAUAUACAAUAGCCACACUUAUAUAUCUAAACUUUUAAUCAUCUCAUAACUGUUCCUCGUUCCAAAUCAAGAAGAUGGACUACAUGAAUUCCUUUUAUCUAUGCGAUUAGCUUUAAUUUCUCAUAUGUGUAUGUGUUAUUUUUUCUUCCCUCUGUUCCGGAGAUGAGCUAGGUUUCCGAAUUGUUCGAUUAUGAGUUUUAGAUCUGCAGAGUUGAGUUCGAGUGAAGCAUAUUUGAGGUUUGGUUCUAAUUGCAGGCUACGGGGAUUGGAAUUUCCGGUGAUCCCGCCUCAUAUUGCCACCGGAAAAGAUAAACCCUGGUUUCUUAUUCAUCUUUCAGUUAAUGCUUUGUUUGAACUCUGGUCUAGGGUUUCGUAUUGGGGAAAUUCAAACAUAUUGAAUUAUCACGUGGUUGAAUAGGGGUUCUCUUAAUUUAAGCAAAUAAAUUUUUAGUUUUCUGAAUUAAUUUCCUUGGAUGUUAUUUAACAUUGGUUUUAAAACUGAAGUUGAUUUGGUUUGUGCACAGAUUACGUUCACAUGUUCAUCGAUUUUAGUAGACAUAUCCAAGAACGCCCCUUUUGAUUGCAGUCUUAACAUCUAAACCAAGGUAUAGGUGCUCUGGUGGAAGGCGGUACUCCUUCAGUUUUGCAAUUCUCGAACCCAAUUACAACCAUGGCUAAAGAAAUUCACUUCAAUCAUGUUCGUUCGACUACAACCAAUUUCCUAGUCAGUUGCAAUUUCACUUUUGAUUUCCCCAUGAAAUUGUUUUUUACGAAUUUGUGGUAAAAGUUAACUACGUUUUAUUAUCUAAUUUUGCAAUGGGUGAUGAGUUUUGGGUGUAGGCAAUGUGAGCAUUGUGACAGAGCUCCAGGGGUAGAAAUGUGGUGUUGCGAAACAAGUAUGGUCCUAAUAAUGUUAAUGAUGGUGAAACUGUUCUCAAAGAGGAUUUUCUGUAGGCGAUUGAAUUUCAAUUAGUUCUCUGCAAAAAUUAUCAAGUUGCUGAAUCAAACAAUCGGCUCAACGGUUUCAGUUAGGAGUAGUGAUUCAGUAGGCGAGCCCCUCCAUUUGCACAUCAGUUGAUUCUAAUCGUUCACGUUGAUUCGUAAGUUUUUCUGAAUUUCAGUACUCCAAUUGUAUCACAUCCUUAAUGUCAUGAUUUUGUCCAGUUUGUACCUAAUAAGUUUAUUUUCACUAUGAUCCUUCUUGCUAAUAUUAUGAUACCUUUCUCAUGUUUUGUACUUGAUAACCUUUUCUUUUGGUUUUAUACAUAUAGCUACUUCUUUUUAUUUUUUUGGAAUCAAUGCUAGGCUCCAAACAAAGACCCACCACAUCGCUUUUGUCUCCAAAUGAAAAUGCACAAGGAUAGCCUACAACGCAAGUUGUGACAACGGAGGCCGAAGUGGAUGCCGGUACUACAAUUGACUGAAAACAACAAGCUCGAUAACUGAAGUCAUUUUUUCAUGUUUUGUUUUGGAAAGUUACAUCAGUUAUGUCGUUUACAGCUUUUGCACGGAAUUGUCCGGUUCCUUAGCUGUUUCAACUUUGGCAAACACUUGGUUCCUGCACACCAUUAAAAACAUGCCCUCUUUCAUGAAUAUCUUCUUUUGUAGAUGAAUGGUUUAUAAAUAAUUGGUCUCUAUUAUAUCGGCUCUUUUACACAUCUUAUUACAGCACCAGCUCCCGUUAACUAGAUUUUUUGGCCUAAAUUGUUUAGAUCUAAAUAUAAAAACCCAUAGCACGGGGUGCAUUUACUAGUUUAAUAUAAAGAUACAAAAAUUCUUGCUACAUACUCAUAAAUUCAAAGUAUUAUUAAAUAUUAUAACUUCUAGAUCAUAUUUUUUUUAUCGUUUUCUUCCACAUCAUAUGUCAAUGUUUACAUAUGAGUCACGUUUGAUAUACAUAUUUUAAAAUAUUUUUUUUAUUUUACACAAUAUUUUUAAAAAAUAUUAUAAUUAUAAAAUAUAUAAAGUUAUAAAUUUACAUUUUAGAGUAAAUUACGAUUUUGGCCCCUAUGGUUAUAUCACUUUUACCCUUUUAGCCCAAAAAGGAAUCUUUUAACAUCUGAACUUUUUCAAGUUGCGCUCAAGUUCAAAAUUUAAGGUAGUUAAGAUAAACGAGCCAAACCAAGAACGAAACUAGCAUGUUGAUGCACCACGCCACCAUGGAACAAGACUAUUAUCAAUGUCUCCAGUCUUCACCAGUUCACCUUAUAGAAAUGAUUAUUAGUGAGUUAGCUGGCCUUUGGCAAAGAGUUGCAUAGGACUUGCAAGCCUAUAAAUGUUUGACAUGGAUUGGGCUUAUAAGUUUAUGCUAUGAAAUGAAAAAAUCUGCUAUUAAAUGAAUGCAAGGGUAGUAAUGCUAAAUGUAGCAUAUGUUAACGGGCUGUUUGUAUUAAUAACAUCAGCUUCUGCUUAUUUAUGGGUCAAAUAAAUUUUGAUUACCAGUUUAAUAUUGGCCUUCGUAAGUAAAUAUCAAUAGGUAAAAUAAUUAUAUAUUUUUCUUAAUCUAAUUUGAUACAUGUCUGAUUCCAGUAUUUUUAUAUAUAAUCUGCACUUUUCAAGCACACAUCAAACCAACGUCAUGCGCAUUAAUGUUCGAUGUUGUAUAGUCUUGUUUGAAUUGCAGGCAACUAAAGUGAAGCGCUAUGUCUUCAUAGAGAUAUGGCGGAAGCACCUUGAUGAAUAUGCGUUACAUUGUAGUAAACUAAAUCAAUCUAUAGAUAAUGUAUGUGACGGCCACUAGACAUUCAAGCUUCAGUUCAGCUGCCGGUGGAAAUAACGUACUUGGUAUGUCUUUCUUUUGCAAUAAGUUGUUUUGUAUUUUUUAUGGUGAUUUGCACUUAUCAACAAACUUCAUUUAAUGUUAUUGGAUUUGUGGUACAAGAGUAUAUGGUUCUAUACAUCAGUUCUUCAUCUCCAGAAGCUUACUCAAACCCCAAAGAUGCCAGCUGCAGAUGCUACUUAUAACUAUAACGCUUCAUCUUUCUUUACAAACUCUGGUACAAAUGAUGAAAACAAAGGAGAUGCAGGAGACCCAUCUUCUUGUAAGAAGAUAGCAUACUAAGAACCUGAUUUGACUAAGGUCCGAUCUAGAAAUGAGCUUACAAAAUAUUUCACCUGUUGUCCUUGAUCCGUUGUUGCAGGAUAUUCGCCCAAAGGAAAACAAGUUACCGGUAGGACCACGCGUGGUGAGAAAUUUGGAUUUUCCAAGAUGCACUUACAAUGAAAAUUUACCAAUCACAAAGAACCCCAACGCAACAGGAAGUUAAUAAAAAAAAGUGCCGAAGACAUGCCAUGCUUUAUUAUCUGAUCAUAGUUUUUGAGCACUUUCAAGUCGAAAAGUAGUGAGUAUAUAGGCAUGAAGAAAACAAUCUAUAAAUAGUUUUUAGCUUAUGUGUAUUGUGAUUUCUCUUUUCAACUUUUGUAGAUAGAUUUUAUCAUAAAUUUGUUACUAGUACUUAAGUUGAAAACUUAUGAAUGAAUUUUGGUUUAUUAUUCUUAA